rnacentral:rRNA from 1 species
UCGAGAAUCUUCGUCAAUGGGCGCAAGCCUGAACGAGCGACGCCGCGUGCGGGAUGAAGGCCUUCGGGUUGUAAACCGCUGUCAGUGGGGAGGAAGUCUAUAAGGGUUCUCUCUUAUAGUUGACCUAUCCGCAGAGGAAGUACGGGCUAAGUUCGUGCCAGCAGCCGCGGUAACACGAACCGUACGAACGUUAUUCGGAAUUACUGGGCUUAAAGGGUGCGUAGGCGGCUCAGAAAGUUGGGUGUGAAAGCCCUCGGCUUAACCGAGGAAUUGCGUCCAAAACUACUGGGCUUGAGGGAGACAGAGGUGAGCGGAACUACGGGUGGAGCGGUGAAAUGCGUUGAUAUCCGUAGGAACACCAGGGGCGAAAGCGGCUCACUGGGUCUUUUCUGACGCUGAGGCACGAAAGCUAGGGGAGCGAACGG